GAUUUGCCAUUCUUUUAUCCGGGUUAGCCUCUUUAUGAUUGCAGUUUGAAGUUUUCCCUUUUCUUUAUUGCUUAAUCAUUGAACCCAGAAACUGCAGUAGGGAGUACCUUAAAACAUUUUCUAUCUUGUCGGACGAUUCUAUUAAAUGUUUUAAAUUAUUCUAUUUGCUUUCAUUAAAAGUUGAGGGCUAAAUUGACAUUUAUCCGACCAAUGAUUGGGGCAAUUUUGUGAUCAUCACACAGAACAAGAAGUCGGGCGAGGAGGAUACUGAAGAGGAGCGAAGCCAUGGUGGGUCUUCUAAACAGAAGUUGCCCGGCAUUCGACCAGGUCCAUUUUCUCAGUGGAAAAGAAUACCGGAAAAAGACCCGAGGGAUCGAGUCAAGACCAAGAGGCGACUCGCUUAAGUGAAAAAGAAUACUGAGAAAGA
rnacentral:misc_RNA from 1 species